GCAUUAUGGGAGGCGCGCGCUUUUGCCGCUUCCGCGAAUAUGGCGGCGCCGUAGUUAGGGCGCGGGAUCCUGGGGCGCGGGGAGGCUGCAGUGCGCAGUCCGGGCGCGGUAAUGGCGACUCCGGAUCAGAAGUCGCCCAACGUUCUGCUGCAGAACCUGUGCUGCCGGAUCCUGGGCCGGAGCGAAGCUGAUGUGGCCCAGCAGUUCCAGUUUGCUGUGAGAGUUAUCGGCAGCAACUUCGCUCCAACUGUUGAACGAGAUGAAUUUCUAGUAGCUGAAAAAAUCAAGAAAGAACUUAUUCGACAAAGGAGAGAAGCGGACGCCGCACUGUUUUCAGAGCUCCACAGGAAGCUUCAUUCGCAGGGAGUUUUGAAGAAUAAAUGGUCAAUCCUCUACCUCCUGCUGAACCUUAGUGAGGACCCUCGCAAGCAGGCCAGCAAGGUGACCAGCUACGCUUCCUUAUUUGCACAAGCGUUACCAAGAGACGCUCACUCGACGCCUUACUACUAUGCCAGGCCUCAGACCCUCCCGCUCAACUACCAGGACCGCAGCACACAGGCACAGAGCUCUGGCAGCCUGGGCAGCAGCGGCAUCAGCAGCAUCGGCAUGUGUGGCCUUAGUGGCCCCACACCUGUGCAGCCUUUCCUUCCCGGACAGUCUCAUCAAGCUCCAGGAGUGGGUGACGGCCUGCGACAGCAGUUGGGGCCUCGUCUGGCGUGGACUCUGACUGGAAAUCAGCCUUCUUCACAAACCCCUACCUCCAAGGGUUUCCCAAAUGCUCUUUCUCGAAACCUGACAAGGUCAAGGAGAGAAGGGGAUCCAGGUGGCACAUUGGAAGUUACUGAAGCUGCUCUUGUGAGAGAUAUUCUCUACGUAUUCCAGGGCAUUGAUGGCAAAAACAUCAAAAUGAGCAGCACUGAAAACUGUUACAAAGUGGAAGCGAAGGCAAACUUAAACAAAUCUUUGAGGGACACAGCAGUCCGGCUUGCUGAGUUGGGAUGGUUGCAUAAUAAAAUCAGAAAGUAUGCUGACCAGAGGAGUCUGGACCGCUCAUUUGGACUUGUAGGUCAGAGUUUUUGUGCCGCAUUGCACCAAGAGCUCAAAGAAUACUACAGGCUCCUCUCUGUUCUGCACUCUCAGCUCCAGCUAGAAGAUGAUCAGGGUGUGAAUUUGGGACUAGAGAGUAGCCUCACACUGCGGCGCCUCCUGGUUUGGACAUAUGACCCCAAAAUAAGAUUAAAGACCCUUGCUGCGCUGGUAGAUCACUGCCAAGGACGAAAAGGGGGUGAGCUGGCCUCUGCUGUUCAUGCCUAUACAAAGACAGGGGACCCCUACAUGAAGUCCCUGGUGCAGCACAUUCUGAGCUUGGUGUCUCACCCUGUCCUGAGCUUCCUCUACCGGUGGAUAUAUGAUGGGGAGUUGGAGGACACUUACCACGAAUUUUUUGUGGCGUCUGAUCCAACAGUUAAAACUGACCGUCUAUGGCACGACAAGUAUACCCUGAGGAAGUCAAUGAUCCCCUCCUUCAUUACGAUGGACCAGUCUAGGAAGGUCCUUUUGAUAGGAAAGUCAAUAAAUUUCUUGCACCAAGUUUGUCAUGAUCAGACACCUACUACAAAAAUGAUAGCAGUGACGAAGUCGGCAGAGUCACCCCGUGACGCUGCGGAUUUAUUCACAGACUUAGAAAACGCAUUUCAAGGGAAAAUUGAUGCUGCUUAUUUUGAGACCAGCAAAUAUCUGUUGGAUGUCCUCAAUAAAAAGUACAGUCUGCUGGAACACAUGCAGGCCAUGCGACGGUACCUGCUGCUUGGCCAAGGAGACUUCAUACGGCACUUAAUGGAUUUGCUCAAGACAAAAAAAAAAAGAAGGCAUUACACCUUGCCUGUGCUAAUGAAGCUGAUGUUUUGAGCCUGUGACCUCCGAGUUAGUCUGACUUCCCAGGAGGUUGUCUCCAGCUGGCCCAUCUCAUCCUCCAGGGGAGUAUGGGUGGCGGUGCCCAGGAGCGUCUGAGUUGGAGCUGGUCAUCAGCUGGCGUGGAUGCUCAGCAAGCCCAUGAGUGCAGAGCAUUUCCACGCCAGAAGUGUGUAGGUUUCGCAGAGAGUUAAAGAGGAUGUGGCGAGGAGCUAUUAAAGGGUAGAUGCUCUCAUGGUGCUGGCCAACAGCGGCAGUGCACAGGCGUGGGCAUGCAAAGUGGAUGCUUGUGCAGACAGCCUAGCCAAGCAGCACAGAGUGGGGGUGUGCUCAGCAUUGCGGAUCACUCCUCCCCGGGUGUUGUCUCCUGUCCUGGUGUGUCAGUCAUCUUCGGUGCAGGGCUCUCUCCUCAGCCAUCAGUCUAUCUCCUGCACACCUGCCAUGAUUGCCAUCUUAGUCAGAAGAGUGGGGGCUUCGUGUCUGGAUGCACAGCCCUGAGCAAUGAAGUAAGCUAGGUGCUGGUGAUGGUGUGGUGCUGGCCACUGGAACUGUGAUGUCUAUAGUUAGCUGCAUGGACAUAGGGUCUUCGUAGGAAACUGUAACAGUCCUGCCCGUAAGCUAGCCAUAGUGUGAAAACUAUCAAGAUGUGUCGCACAUAUAAGUACUUUCACCCUAAGCUGAAUGGAAAUUAAUGUUUUUAAUAUUUUGAAGAAACCUACUUUCUACAGCAUUGUUAGUAGUUAAUGUCAUGAGCUUUGCUUAAUGAAGCAGAGUUGAGAUUUUUAAAAUUAUUUUAAUAAAUUUUGAGCACAGGGAUAAGAGAAAGAAGCAUGCAGGAAGACAGUAAGACACUCAAGCAUGGUGUGGGCGCCUCAGAGGGUCUCACUUUGUUGUCUUUGCAGUGGCCACAUACAAGGCUCUGGAGUGAAACACACUCUUGAUACUCUUUCAAGGACUCGUGAGAAACCUAAGUGAGGCCACAGAGUGGUUGCUAGGCACCGUGAUGCUUCUGUAGCUAUGUGUUACUAUCCCACUGUCUUCCGUUUUUAGCUUUUACUUUUUAAAUUAAUUUUUAAAAAAUUUCAAAUAAUAGUAUCUUUAACUUUAAACACCUUUUCUAAAGACCAGAACUUGUUCGGCCAGCAACAACUUUGUAUCAGCAUAACUUGACGGGGAUUCUUGAAACUGCUGUGAGAGCCACCAAUGCUCAGUUUGACAGCCCGGAGAUCCUUAAGAGGCUCGAUGUGAGGCUGCUGGAGGUCUCUCCUGGUGACACUGGGUGGGAUGUCUUCAGCCUGGAUUACCACGUCGAUGGACCAAUCGCCACUGUGUUCACACGAGAGUGCAUGAGCCACUACCUGAGAGUGUUUAACUUCCUGUGGAGGGCCAAGCGCAUGGAGUACAUCCUCACUGACAUCCGGAAAGGGCACAUGUGCAACGCGAAGCUGCUGAGGAACAUGCCGGAGUUCUCUGGGGUGCUUCACCAGUGCCACAUCCUGGCCUCAGAGAUGGUGCACUUCAUCCACCAGAUGCAGUACUACAUCACCUUUGAGGUUCUCGAGUGCUCCUGGGAUGAGCUGUGGAACAGAGUGCAGCAGGCCCAGGACCUGGACCACAUUAUUGCAGCACACGAGGCGUUCCUGAACACCAUCACCUCCCGCUGUCUCCUGGAUAGCAACUCCAGGGUGCUUUUAAACCAACUGAGAGCCGUGUUUGACCAAAUCAUUGAACUUCAGAAUGCCCAGGACGUGAUGUACAGAGCAGCUCUGGAGGAGCUGCAGAGGCGUCUGCAGUUUGAAGAGAAAAAGAAACAGCGUGAAAUUGAGGGCCAGUGGGGAGUGACUGCGGCAGAGGAAGAGGAGGAGAACAAGAGGAUCCGAGAAUUCCAGGACUCCAUACCAAAAAUGUGCUCACAGUUGCGAAUAUUGACGCACUUCUACCAGGGUGUGGUGCAGCAGUUUCUGGUGUUACUCACGACCAGCUCUGAUGAAAGUCUCCAGUUUCUCAGCUUCAGAUUGGACUUCAACGAACAUUACAAAGCCAGAGAACCCAGGCUCCGGGUCUCUCUGGGCAGUAGGGGGCGGCGCAGUUCCCACACGUGAGGCUGGCUUGGGUUAGUACAUGCUUACUCAAGCCUGGCCCCUCAAGCAGCUGUGAGCUGCAGGUGCCCCCUGUCUACACACAGGCCCCAGUGUUCAGCACUGUGUCUGCUGGAAGAAGUCUUGUUAUCCACUGGACUUGCGUGUCUGUAACGCUGCUGAGUUCAACAGGCCACUUACCUACCAUGUAGUCUCCGUAGUCGAAAGACACUGUGAUGUGCUGGGACAUCUUAUUUCCACCGUGUAAUUUAUAUUUCAACAACAACAAACUGUUUCUUGCCACAAAAAAACUAGACCAUAAAUUAAGAGUAAUGUCACUGCUGUUUUUUAGCAUUCUCUGUGAGACAGUUUUUGUUAUCAUGAUGACACUAAAAUUGAAACAUGUCUAAGAAAGUCCA